GAGUGGUGUUUGGUUUGUUACGUGUGGUUGGCUGCGGCGUUUGCAACAACUUCCAUGCUUUCAGACCUCUUCAGUUGUGCGGCAAGGCUUGUAUCGCCUUGAGCGUAUUGUGGGUUUUCUGUGUUGGCUACCUAAUCAAUGGUAUCGGUUGGAUUGAUCAAUGUUUCAUUUCGUCUACCGUCGCAUUCGCGGCGUGAGAUGAACCUUGAUGCGGUCUCUUUGAUCCACCUCGUCGAAGCGCAUGCUUUGGCGUUGUGGCACAUUGAGCAUUGCUUGGUCUCUUGUAUACGGAACAUAUAGUGGGCAUGGAUCUAACGAUUCUCGUUUGCCCUCAUAUUAGCGUAACGCUUCUCUUACACGACUUGCUCCACGUUUUAGCUCGUAC
rnacentral:misc_RNA from 1 species